GAUCGUUUGGCUCCUCUUGAACGCUGGCGGCAUGCUUUACACAUGCAAGUCGAAUCGGCAGCACGCACUUCGGCCUGGUGGCGAGUGGCGAACGGGUGAGUAAUGCGUCGGAACGUGCCGAGUAAUGGGAGGAUAACGCUUCGAAAGGAGUGCUAAUACCGCAUAAUCUCUGAGGAGGAAAGCGGGGGACCUUCGGGCCUCGCGUUAUUCGAGCGGCCGACGUCUGAUUAGCUAGUUGGUGAGGUAAAGGCUCACCACUAGACGAUCAGUAGCGGGUCUCUCGGAUGAUCCGCCACACUGGGACUGAGACACGGCCCAGACUCCUACGGGAGGCAGCAGUGCCAAUUAGGGACAAUGGCGAUGUCUGAUCCAGCCAUGCCGCGUGUCUGAAGAAGGCCUUCGGGUUGUAAAGGACUUAGUUGUCUGCUCCAAAUCCCUAGCGUUAAUAGCGUUGGGGGAUGACAGUACCGGAAGAAUACAGCACCGGCUAACUACGUGCCAGCAGCUAGGUAAUACGUAGGGUGCAAGCGAGCUCGGAAUUACUGCUCGUAAAGGGUGCGCAGGCACGGACACAAGCCAGAUGUGAAAUCCUUAGCUUAACUUGGGAACGGCGUUCGGAACUGUGUCGCUAGAGUAUGUCAGAGGAUGUAGAAUUCCUGGUGUAGCAGUGAAAUGCGUAGAUAUCACUCGAAUACCGAUGGCGAAGGCAGCAGCUGGGAUAAUACUGACGCUCAUGCACGAAACGCGUGGGGAGCAAUACAGGAUUAGAUACCCUGGUAGUCGCACGCCCUAAACGCAUGACAACUAGCCGUUGGGAAUGAAGAUUCUUAGUGGCGUAGCUAACGCGAGAAGUUGUCCGCCUGACUAGUACGGUCGCAAGAUUAUGACUCAAAGGAAUUGACGGGGGCCCGCACAAGCGGUGGAUGAUGUGGAUUAAUUCGAUGCAACGCGAUCACCUUACCUGGUCUUGACAUGUAUAUAAUCCUGCAGAGAUGCGGGAGUGCCGUUCGGCUGCCGUAACAGCAGGUGCUGCAUGGCUGUCGUCAGCUAGAUGUUGGGUUAAGUCCCGCAACGAGCGCAACCGCUUGCCAUGCGUUGCUACCAUUCAGUUGAGCACUGCGUGGGACUGUAUUGACAAACCGGAGCGAAGGUGGCAUUGACGUCAAGUCCUCAUGGCCCUUAUGACCAGGGCUUCACACGUCAUACAAUGGUCGGUACAGAGGGUCGCUAACCCGCGAGGGGGUGCUAAUCUCAUAAAGCCGAUCGUACAGCGGAUCGCACUCUGCAACUCGAGUGCGUGAAGUCGGAAUCGCUAGUAAUCGCGGAUCAGCAUGUCGCGGUGAAUACGUUACCCGGGCCUUGUACACACCGCCCGUCACACCAUGGGAGAUGGCGGAUACGCAGAAGCAGCGUAGCUUAACCAUUCGCGCUUGCCACGGAUAUGAGGAUCGACUGGGGUGAAUGUCGAUACGG
rnacentral:rRNA from 1 species